AAUAUCUGCCACAACACAGGCCACCUUGGUGGCCUGAGGAGUUGCCCUUUGCCUCAGUCAGUGACGGAAAAGGUGAAGGGCGUAAAGCUUUCACUGCUGAAAAGCUGAGGCAGGUGGUACGCUCAUACAAUGCGUAUUACAAUCUCCAGCUGCAGCAGUCUGUUGAGGCACCACCAUCACCCCCAUCACCAGCAACACCAGCAGCAGCAGAAACACCUGCUGCACCUCUCACCCCCCUCACCCCUCC